AAGAAAGGAAAAACUAGAACAAACCUUAGAUAAGAGAAUUUCAAGAAAAAUUAUGGAAAUUUCAAGGAAUCAUGAAAGAUAAGGUAUGAUUUUUCAAUUUUUGCUUGAGAUCUAGCAUACCCAUGCUUUAUUUUCUUAUUUCCAUGGCUGAAAAUUGAGUUGGCAUGAUGAAACCCAUGAAGGUCGAAUUCUAGAGAGAGAGAGAGAGAGAGUUUGGUGAUGGUUUGGUUGGAUUUUAAGUUAUAUGGAUGUUUUCAAUGAUUUAUGGUGUUUAGUGUAAGAAUCAAGCUUGAAAAUCACCCAUUCUUUAUGUGUUCUUCAUUGGCCAAAUUUUCUAGGGAAGAUAUUGUGGCUGAAAUUGAUGAUAUUUCAUGAUAUUUUGGUGAUAUUUGAUGUUUGGUGAGGCUAGAAAUUAAAUGGAAAAUUUUGGUGUGAAAAUUUGAAUUUUUGCUCAACGUAUAGAUAUGUGUGAUUAUUGACUUGGGACUGAUAAAUUGAAUCUCAUUCAUAGUCACUGAGGUAAUUUAGGUAUAAUUGGAGUGUAGAAAGUGAGAAGAAUUGAUUUGAAGUUAAAUUGGAGAUUUUAGCCGAUUAGACCGAGUAUAGUGUGACUUAGGUCGAAUAUCACAUUUAAGUGAUUGAUCGGACAUUUUGCAUCCCAUUGCAUGCAUUCAUUUAGAUUUAGAAAGCCUGAAAUAGUGUAUGAAAAAUUGACACAAAUUAUUGAAUUUUGUGUCAUGUGUGAUGUAUAAGUGGUGAGCUAUUUGAUAAGGAUAAAGAGAUUACACCAAAGACCGAGACUAGGAGUAUUUAUACUCCUGAUACUGUGAGUAAUCUUACUAUCGUCUUAAUUAUCUAAAGUGUUUUUUAUCCGGUUUUUUGAAUUUCAUGGAAAAUGAAUUAAAUGAUUAAAUUUUUUGAUUUUAUAAACAAAAUUUGAUUUAAUGAAAUGAUUUCAUAAAAUUGUUUUAAAAUUGAAUAAUGGCUUUUCAAAUAGAGUAAUUAGAGACCAUUUAAUGUAUUGUGAAUUUAUGGUUCUAAUUGAUUGGCUUAUGACAAUAUUGGCAUGAAUGGCUGAAUUGGUAUUUGUGUUGAAAUAUAUAAACUGUUGUUUGCCUUGAUAGGCUGGAUAAUGAUAAAAUUGCCCAUGUCAUGCUGUUGAAUUUUUAUUGUAUGGUGGGAUAUUGAUUAGCUUACUACAGUGGGCGAGUUUCCGUGAACCAGCCUAUUAUAGGGGCACGGUACACCCCGUUAUAUCUUACCUCAGUAUGAGAGGCACGGGUGGAUAACUCUUGAGGCUAACACUUUUAGAGUUCACAUCAUGCCAAGCCAUCACGUGAGGGUGAACUCAGCCAACGCCAAGGAACGGCUAUGUUUUCAAAAUAAAGGCAUAAUUUAUGCGUACAUGACUUUUUAAUAGCCUUGGCGGACUCAAUUGGGAUAGCCCUCGAUCAAGGCAUCCCUGAUAACUGAGUAUGAGAAUGAUUUUUGGCACGAGCCAAGCUUUUCAGGAAAUCAUAAGCCUAGUUGUUUAUUUGGUUGAAAUGAGUUGUAAGGUAAUGAAAUUACAAUAUGAUGACUUAUUUCAAUUGUCUCCAUUUACUCGACUUUAGAUGGUUUAGAUGGUAUUUGUUUACUCACUGGGAUUUUAUAAUCUCACCACCCUCAAUUCCCCACAUUUUAGGCUUGGGAUAGCUGGUAGAUAGCCGAUUGCAUCAAGGACUUUAGUUAGCCUUGCAUCGACAAAAUUGUAGGUUCACAGACUCGCACCUUAUUAGUUAGUUGGGAGCCCACGUGUCACUGUAAAAGAAAUUUUAUACUUCAAUUAUCUGAUUUAAAGUACGUAUGAAUAUACUUAGCUUUUACACUACAGAAAUUAUUUAUGGAUUUCUCUAUAAAUAUUAUUUUUUUUAGAAAAUAGAAUAUUUUAUUGAAUAUUAUUAUUUUAUUCAAACAAUUAUAAUUUCGUUCCAAAUAAUUAUUUUAGACAUCUAAAUUUACUUUUAAUUAUGAAACAUGUGUUUUUCACCCACACACCAUGUUUUUGGCGGGUUUCGGUAGUUUCGAAGAAAAAUAACGAAAUUGCCCCAAUGAGCCAGAAAAUAAUAUUAUAUUGUUUUGAUUUGGAAACGACUUGUGAUUUCUUGAAAUGCGAGAUUUAAUAACUGUCGUUCACCGGGAAGAUGCGGAAGCUAAUGCUAAGCCUUGUGGGGUUUCGAUCGGCAUUUCGAGUAAUGAGUGUCUAUCGGGACGUCGCGGCGGUUGUCAUGGGCCCGAUGGGAGUUUCGGGUCGUGACAGAUGAGACCUAAAUAACAAGAUAAAAGCAACAACAAAAAUCCCUCAUUAAACUAUUAAGUCAUAUGCUUCGCAUGAUUAAGUUGCCUUCCACCAUAUAACAAGAUAACCAAGCUACCCUUUUAAUUGAAGACUUGUUAAGCCACUCAAGGUCAAACAACAAAUGAUGGGUAAGUGUUUUAACUUUGAGAUCAUAAGUGGAAAGGAAAAAUAAAAAUGUGUAUUGAUUAUUUGUACUUGUUGCAACAAGGGUGACCGAGGAUGUGAGGAGUUCGUGAGUUGCAUGUGGAAUUUAAGGUAAAAAUCGGAAGGUAAAUAUGUAAUGUGGGCAUACUAUGUUAUAUUGGAGUUAAUUAGUUGAAAGUAUAUAGAUUUCAUGUUAAAUUAUUGUGAAUAAUAAGGGUGAAAAAUGUGAAAUUAGAUUAAAGAUUGAUUGAUUAAUGUGCUGCCUAUAUAUGUGUACAAUUGAAUAUAAAUACGAAAGUAGACAUAAUGAAAGAGGUAGAUUAUUUGUGAGGGAUUCUUGAAAAUAAAGAGAACUAAGAACAUGGUAUAUAGAACAGCAAAUAUGAGCUGAAUUGUGGUGAUGUUCACUAAGUAUAUUAAGUUUAAUUUGCUACUAGAAAGUGUAUAAGUGAGGAAGGAUUACCGUGGUGGUGUACCGAAAGAGGUAACGGGUGAUCGGCAAGUAGAAUUAGUUGAAGGCACACCCAAAUCAAUGGCGACAUAGUGACCCGCCAUUGUGAGGAGAGUAAGGGGUGUCUAUUUCAAAAGUUUCAUAAACUAUAUAAUGAUAUACGUAUAAUAAACAUUGUCGAUUUUCUUUAAAUACAAUUGUGAAUAGCAUGAGUUGUUAGCUUCGGUAGGUGAUUUUUAAAUGGAUUUGCAAUCGGAUUGCACUGUUUUUGUGGAAAGCAUGAGUUGGUAGAAUGCUAGGCACUUGUGAAUGCCAUGUUUUUAGAAACGUUUUGUAUAUAUAUAAGUUAUAUAUGUAAAGGGUUUUAAAACCCGUGAAACAAACUCUUUACCAUGAUUUAUGUCAAAACGUGCCUUACUUGUUUUUCUGAUGUGCAUUCAUGAAUAAGCUUUAUGUUCACCAUGCUUGGAUUUAAUAUUUCAACCUCAUGCAAAGGUUUUACAUAAUGAAUUCUUACAAAUGGAUUUAUAAUGUCACCGUGAUUGGUAUUUUGGAAAUAGAUUUAAAAUAAGCUUUUGAAAACCUAAUUUGGUUAUAAAUGGUUUUGUCAAACUAGGAGAUUUGAGAGUAGGCCGAAUGUCACAUUGGGAUAGUAUGACCCUUGUGUAUAAGUGAGCUCUAGCUAGAGAACCUUUGAAUCACCGACAGGCUAUUAGAUGUGGCUAGGCCACAGUCUAUGAUAUAUAUACGUGGCAAGGCCACAGGUUGAUAUAUGUGGUUACGACUACAUGAUUUCUUCGAUGUCGGCCAACAUCAUCGAGACUGCCAUGAUUGUGGGAAUCUGGUGGAGGAUGGCAUCUCGGAUGUUAUUAUGUGGAAGUGGGUCUACGGGUUGAUAAUUACGAUUACCUACUCGAGAGUGAUAUCUCUUUGCGUUUUCAAACACGAAUUCUUUUGCAUGGUGAGAAAUGCAGGUUUUUUCAUAGCUCCUUUAUUGAUAAGAUGAUUUUGCGUUUAAUACCUCAAGGAUAGAUUGUUUAUAAGCUUGUGUAUAAGCAUUGAUAAUGCUUGAUUUUACGGGAGUGUACGUGCUUAUGUUAGUUUGAUUUUAAGUAAAGGACAUUAAAUGAUUUCAACGGUAGAAAUCUUUUACUUGCACUGGUUUUAAUACAUUACUUGAAAUGGUUAUUUUGCAUCACAAUUCUUAGGUUUAGAUGUAAG
rnacentral:lncRNA from 1 species